UGCGGGCGGAAGAAGUGACAACUGAAAAAGAAGCAAUUUAACUGGUGUUAAAAGAUCUUUAGCAUUUUGUAUGAACGUGUGUUAAUCCCCAUACAUAUUCAUGCAAGGAUUAGUAUCUGAUCCUGCUCAAUAGUCGAUUCCAUUAGCUACGUACGUCGAAGUUGCGCGGAACAACAAACAUAGAAACAACUAUUUACUGAUGUUUUAUCAUACGAUUUUUAGUUAAUGGGAAUAACUCAAACCACUUUAUUGUGGUAGGCUUAUUUCUUUAAAUGAUGAAUAUGAUAGAACGGCAAGUAAUAUCAGUUGUGUGAGAAGCAUAAAGAAAAUAAUGGACAGCGAUUUAUUGAGUUCGAUGGCUCAGUUGAAGAAGAAACGUUUGUUGGGAAAUAGAGGACUGAACACUUCUAUUCAUUUUGAUUAUCUACCUUCAUCACCAUUGACAGUUCUUGGUCU